rnacentral:ncRNA from 1 species
GCGGAGGAGUAUAGAGCUAAGGCCGACGUGGAGCCCGACUUCUGGUACUUUUUAUAGAGCCGGGAUUUAUUAUUUGUUAAGUAUGACAAAUACUUGGAGAACCAGGGAGGCUUGGACGAUACAGGUACAGUGAUAUCUGGAACAAAAGUAUUAAAAUUAGUUUACAGUUGCAGAUAGAAGAAGAAGUGUUUGGCGUAAGCCUUCAUGGAGCUGCCAUUGGCACAGAUCUUGGUGGUAGUAGCAAAUAAUCGAAUGAGACCUUGGAGGACUGAAGUGGAGAAGGGUUUCGUGUGAACAGUGGUUGAUCACGAGUUAGUCGGUCCUAAGUUCAAGGCGAAAGCCGAAAAUUUUCAAGUAAAAAACGAGGGGGAACGUUGUGAGUUGCUGCGGACACCGCAACUCUACAGUUAUACCCGAUACUAAGUCAGUAUGGCUCUCCUCCGGCAGACGCCGCUAAUAUUUAGCGACACGACAAAGAGUGCGUGCGAGAGAGACAGAAAAUCAGUCUGAGCGUGACGUCGGGCGCUGCGUAGCCACUGCAAAUUGAUUUGUUCCUUUUGGCUAUAAAAAUGAUCUGAUCUGAUCCAGAUUCAGUAAUCUGAUAGAUAUAGUCAUUCUCUAUGAUUCUGCGUUUUUAGUU